rnacentral:rRNA from 1 species
CCUACGGGUGGCAGCAGUGAGGAAUAUUGGUCAAUGGACGCAAGUCUGAACCAGCCAUGCCGCGUGCAGGAUGACGGCUCUAUGAGUUGUAAACUGCUUUUGUACGAGGGUAAACGCAGAUACGUGUAUCUGUCUGAAUGUAUCGUACGAAUAAGGAUCGGCUAACUCCGUGCCAGCAGCCGCGGUAAUACGGAGGAUUCGAGCGUUAUCCGGAUUUAUUGGGUUUAAAGGGUGCGUAGGCGGUCGGAUAAGUUAGAGGUGAAAUCUCGAGGCUCAACCUCGGGAUUGCCUCUGAUACUGUUCGACUAGAGAGCAGAUGCGGUAGGCGGAAUGAAUGGUGUAGCGGUGAAAUGCUUAGAGAUCAUACAGAACACCGAUUGCGAAGGCAGCUUGCCAAGCUGCAUCUGACGUUGAGGCACGAAAGCGUGGGUAGCAAACAGGAUUAGAUACCCUAGUAGUC